rnacentral:lncRNA from 1 species
AUUUUGAAGCUGAAAAAGUAUAAGGAAAGAAGUACAGGAGACUAUUUUGCAAUAUUACCAUCAUAGACAUAAAUACUAUUCUGUUAAGACUUGCAAGGAAGAUUUUGGUAGCUUAGGUUGUGAUUGGUAACAGAGAUGGCAGUCGUAGUUAAAGACUAAUAGAUUGAAGAGCUCUACAGUAGUCGCAUCUGCCCAGCAAGUGAAGACAACGCAAACUUCAAAUGCUCCUGAUGUAAAUGAUGCAAUUGUGAAACUAUUCAAUGAUUUUGAUGUUAAGGAAACCUCCCAUCAUUUAGUGAUUUCUCAUCUAGAUCUACACAUAUGUGAUGACAUUCAUGCUAAAGAAAAAGAGUCAAACAGACGUAUUACUGGAGGGGCAAUGCAACUCUCUUUUACACAGCUAACUAUAGAUUAUUAUCCUUAUCAUAAAGCAGAGAAGGACUACCCUCUGAAAGGGACAUGCAGAACACCUUCAGUAUUAUCUCAACAAUCAAAAGCUAAGCUAAUGUCUAGUUCUGUUGUGGUUAGACUUGCAGAUUUCAAUAUAUACCAGGUCUCUACAGCGGAACAAUGUCGUUCUU